CACUCCAUGUAUAAUUGAUGGUGCCUUUUGUUUUGCACAUGCCAGCAAUUAGGAUAUCAUGGUUAGUCGACCCAGUUUCAUCCUAGAGGGGGGAGAGCUUGGAGUGGAGGUUUGUUUCUUUGAAGCCAAUGGGUUUCAGAGGUGGAGCAUUUUGGAGAGGAAGCUGAGUAUGUAUCCUUGAGGUGGAUGAGCAUGGAGAGGGAAUGUCGAUGAUUCUGACCACAAAGAUGCCUGACCACUGGUUGCUUCGGCCAUCUUUAUGGAUAACUGC